UGGGGAAUUUUGGACAAUGGGCGCAAGCCUGAUCCAGCAAUGCCGCGUGCAGGAUGAAGGCCUUCGGGUUGUAAACUGCUUUUGUACGGAACGAAACGGCUCUGUCUAAUACAUGGGGCUGAUGACGGUACCGUAAGAAUAAGCACCGGCUAACUACGUGCCAGCAGCCGCGGUAAUACGUAGGGUGCAAGCGUUAAUCGGAGUUACUGGGCGUAAAGCGUGCGCAGGCGGUGAUGUAAGACAGGUGUGAAAUCCCCGGGCUUAACCUGGGAAUUGCAUUUGUGACUGCAUCGCUGGAGUGCGGCAGAGGGGGAUGGAAUUCCGCGUGUAGCAGUGAAAUGCGUAGAUAUGCGGAGGAACACCGAUGGCGAAGGCAAUCCCCUGGGCCUGCACUGACGCUCAUGCACGAAAGCGUGGGGAGCAAACA
rnacentral:rRNA from 1 species